rnacentral:rRNA from 1 species
GUGCACGCUGGCGGUAGGCCUAACACAUGCAAGUCGCACGGCAGCACAGUAAGAGCUUGCUCUUCCGGGUGGCGAGUGGCGGACGGGUGAGGAAUACAUCGGAAUCUACUUUUUCGUGGGGGAUAACGUAGGGAAACUUACGCUAAUACCGCAUACGACCUACGGGUGAAAGCAGGGGAUCUUCGGACCUUGCGCGAUUGAAUGAGCCGAUGUCGGAUUAGCUAGUUGGCGGGGUAAAGGCCCACCAAGGCGACGAUCCGUAGCUGGUCUGAGAGGAUGAUCAGCCACACUGGAACUGAGACACGGUCCAGACUCCUACGGGAGGCAGCAGUGGGGAAUAUUGGACAAUGGGCGCAAGCCUGAUCCAGCCAUACCGCGUGGGUGAAGAAGGCCUUCGGGUUGUAAAGCCCUUUUGUUGGGAAAGAAAAGCAGCAGGUUAAUACCCCGCUGUUCUGACGGUACCCAAAGAAUAAGCACCGGCUAACUUCGUG